CUACGGGGGGCAGCAGUGGGGAAUAUUGGACAAUGGGGGAAACCCUGAUCCAGCAAUGCCGCGUGUGUGAAGAAGGCCUGCGGGUUGUAAAGCACUUUCGGUUGGGAGGACUGCUUCUAGCACUAAUAUUGUUGGAAGUUGACGUUACCUUCAGAAGAAGCACCGGCUAACUCCGUGCCAGCAGCCGCGGUGAAUACGGAGGGUGCAAGCGUUAAUCGGAAUUACUGGGCGUAAAGCGCGCGUAGGCGGCUAGAUCAGUCGGGUGUGAAAGCCCCGGGCUUAACCUGGGAACUGCAUCCGAUACUGUCUAGCUUGAGUACAGGAGAGGAGAGUGGAAUUCCACAUGUAGCGGUGAAAUGCGUAGAUAUGUGGAGGAACACCAAUGGCGAAGGCAGCUCUCUGGCCUGAUACUGACGCUGAGGUGCGAAAGCGUGGGGAGCAAACAGGAUUAGAUACCCGGGUAGUC
rnacentral:rRNA from 1 species